rnacentral:rRNA from 1 species
AUUGAACGCUGGCGGAAUGCUUUACACAUGCAAGUCGAACGGGAGUAGCAAUACUCUAGUGGCGAACGGGUGAGUAACACAUCGGAACGUACCCUGACGUGGGGGAUAACACAUCGAAAGGUGUGCUAAUACCGCAUACGUCCUGAGGGAGAAAGCGGGGGAUCGUAAGACCUCGCGCGUUUGGCGCGGCCGAGGGAGGAUUAGCUAGUUGGUGGGGUAAAGGCCUACCAAGGCGACGAUCCGUAGCUGGUCUGAGAGGACGACCAGCCACACUGGGACUGAGACACGGCCCAGACUCCUACGGGAGGCAGCAGUGGGGAAUUUUGGACAAUGGGCGAAAGCCUGAUCCAGCCAUUCCGCGUGAGUGAAGAAGGCCUUCGGGUUGUAAAGCUCUUUCGGCAGGAACGAAACGGCUCUUUCUAAUACGGAGAGCUAAUGACGGUACCUGAAGAAGAAGCACCGGCUAACUACGUGCCAGCCGCCGCCGUAA